GACGAACUGACCUCCAACGGGCGCCCGUU
rnacentral:sRNA from 1 species